CCUUGUGCCAGCCGCCGCGGUAAAACCAGCUCUUCAAGUGGUCGGGAUAAUUAUUGGGCUUAAAGUGUCCGUAGCCGGUUUAGUAAGUUCCUGGUAAAACCGGGCAGCUUAACUGUCCGUAUGCUAGGAAUACUGCUAUGCUAGAGGGCGGGAGAGGUCUGAGGUACUACAGGGGUAGGGGUGAAAUCUUAUAAUCCUUGUAGGACCACCAGUGGCGAAAGCGUCAGACUGGAACGCGCCUGACGGUGAGGGACGAAAGCCAGGGGAGCGAACCGGAUUAGAUACCCGGGUAGUCCUGGCCGUAAACGAUGCAUACUAGGCAAUGGUGCGGCCAUGAGCCGCAUCAGUACCGUAGGGAAACCGUUAAGUGUGCCGCCUGGGAAGUACGGUCGCAAGGCUAAAACUUAAAGGAAUUGGCGGGGGAGCACCACAAGGGGUGAAGCUGCGGUUCAAUUGGACUCAACGCCGGGAAACUUACCAGGGGAGACAGCAGAAUGACAGUCAGGUUGACGACCUUACUCGACGAGCUGAGAGGAGGUGCAUGGCCGUCGCCAGUUCGUGCUGUGAGGUAUCCUGUUAAGUCAGGCAACGAACGAGAUCCGCGCCUUUAUUUGCCAUCAAGAAGUCACGACUUCGUUGGGAACACUAAAGGGACCGCCGUCGAUAAGACGGAGGAAGGAGCGGGCAAAGGCAGGUCUGU
rnacentral:rRNA from 1 species